rnacentral:lncRNA from 1 species
UUCUGGCUCAAGUUAAGUGCCGGGAGACAGCAGGAGCCUGGAUCACUUUCCAGGUCCACAGAAACAGUUCCAAAUUUCUAACUUCUGCUGAUUGAUUCAGAAUGAUCUCCCUGUGAUCAAUUGCCCUUUACUCCAAUCCAAUGAUGAGAACUAAAUGAAAGUUUUCAUUGAUCUGUGUUUCUCUUGGUGACAGAGAAACCAACAGACCAGGAGCUAAAACAAUUUCAGAAAUGGGUAGAUUUCUG